CGGGACUUAAUUUAAUUAGAAUAUUAGCUUUGGGGGUUAAGUGUAGGGGUUUAAUUCCUCUAGUUCCGA
rnacentral:tRNA from 1 species